CGCGAUCCUCACACUGGUGUCAGGAGUGGGGUUUGUAGGUAAUACAUCCCGAGGAUCGAGUCGACAAAUUUGACAAUACUAAGAAAUACGCGCCGUAACUGUAAUACAUUACCAUGGCACAACCACGGACAGGGGAUGGAACCGGGAGGACAGCAGUAGGCGUAGUGAAAUCAUUCGCUCCGUUAGGAACGGUGUUACCUAGCUUUAACGGCGAAUUAGGGCCGAAAGUGCGAUCCUUCUUCGAACAACUCGAAGAAGUAGCCGAUCUACAUCAAUGGGACGAGAACGAACGUCUAAUGGCCGGUUUCACCAACAAAGUUCAAA
rnacentral:lncRNA from 1 species